rnacentral:rRNA from 1 species
ACGUCUACAUUAGAUACCCGUGUAGUCCCAGCCGUAAACGAUGCGCGUUAGGUGUAUCGACGACCACGAGUCGUCGAGGUGCCGAAGGGAAACCGUGAAACGUGCCGCCUGGGAAGUACGGUCGCAAGGCUGAAACUUAAAGGAAUUGGCGGGGAGCACCACAACGGGUGGAGCCUGCGGUUUAAUUGGACUCAACGCCGGGAAGCUCACCGGAUAAGACAGCGGAAUGAUUGCCGGGCUGAAGACUCUGCAUGACUAGCUG